rnacentral:rRNA from 1 species
UACGUAGGGCGCAAGCGUUAUCCGGAAUUAUUGGGUUUAAAGGGUGCGUAGGCGGCCCGUUAAGUCAGCGGUGAAAGCCCGGGGCUCAACCCCGGAACCGCCGUUGAUACUGGCGGGCUUGAGUAUGGACGAGGUUGGCGGAAUUGAGGGUGUAGCGGUGAAAUGCUUAGAUACCCUCAAGAACACCGAUUGCGUAGGCAGCUAACUAGGCCAUAACUGACGCUGAGGCACGAAAGCGUGGGGAGCGAACAGG